AGAGUUUGAUCAUGGCUCAGGACGAACGCUGGCGGCGUGCUUAACACAUGCAAGUCGAACGGUGACCCAGGGCUUGCCCUGGUGAUCAGUGGCGAACGGGUGAGUAACACGUGGGCAACCUGCCCCUGACUUCGGGAUAACUCCUCGAAAGAGGAGCUAAUACCGGAUACGACCACUUCGGACAUCCGAUGGUGGUGGAAAGUUUUCGGUCAGGGAUGGGCCCGCGGCCUAUCAGCUAGUUGGUGGGGUAAUGGCCUACCAAGGCGACGACGGGUAGCCGGCCUGAGAGGGCGACCGGCCACACUGGGACUGAGACACGGCCCAGACUCCUACGGGAGGCAGCAGUGGGGAAUAUUGCGCAAUGGGCGAAAGCCUGACGCAGCGACGCCGCGUGAGGGAUGAAGGCCUUCGGGUUGUAAACCUCUUUCAGCAGGGACGAAGCGAAAGUGACGGUACCUGCAGAAGAAGCACCGGCUAACUACGUG
rnacentral:rRNA from 1 species